AGGUAUGAAAUAAUUUCCUAUUGAAGUCAUCUUAACAUGGAACCAGAAUUAAAUCCUAACAACAAUCAUGUGAGCCUGGGGAGGAUCCUUCCCCACGUGAGCCUUCAGGGGAGACUUCAGCCUUGGCCAUCUUCUACAUCUAGAUUCCUGACCAAGAGAAGCUGUGAGUAAUGUGUAUGUGCUUUUCAGCCACUCAGCUGUGUGGGAAUUUGUUAUACAACAAUAGCUAAGUAACACACCUGGCAUUGAAUGUAAUGUGGUAUCCUAGAUUAGAUACUGGAAUAGAAAAGUGACAUUAUUGGAAACCUGAGGAGAACUAUGAAGAAAGUCUGUAGUUCCAUUGAUGGUUUUAUAACACUGUCAAUUUCUCAGUUUUCAUGAAUAGUCUAUGGUUAUAUAAUGUGUUAACAUUCCUUUAAGCUGAAAGGUAUAUGAAACUCUCUGCACUAUAUAUACCUCCUUCUGUAAGUCAAAUAUGAUUUCAAAAUAAUUUUAAAAUAAUAUUUUGGUGCAAAACAAAAACCAACAAAAAGACACAAGAACAUUAGCUUGGUUUCAGGAGAUGGGGUGGGCAAGUAGGGAAAGAACAGCAGUGCAGCUUUCCUAAUCUAUCCACCAUUCGGAACCCAGGUGCACCUGCUUCAGUUAAACACAGUUAGCUCUGGGGACUCUCAUCCAUUUUUGUCUUUGAAAUCAUGCUACUCAUUAUCCACGAACAUUUCAAGUGUCAGUAACCACUUCUUCAGAGAGAGGUGCCUGUUCCUCAUAUAUCCCAGGAUGCCCCAUUUUCAGGCAUUGUCUGGCAGUUUAUUCACAUAAUUCCAGUAAAGCCUUUCUGGAAAAAAUGACUGCUGGACCUUAGAAGCCGAUAUUGCAAAAUGUCAGUGACAGGGAACACAAAUUGUAUUUCUACAAUCAGGAGAGUGUUUUAAUUCCCUUGGUACAGAGAUUUGUUCUUCAACUGAUUAUCAGAUCACUGUGAUAAUUUCUAUUUCUCUUGUCAUGAAUUAUUUGGGACCAUAUAUUCUGUUGCUCUUCACAUCUUGGAAUUAUAUUGUCCAUUUCCAAGGUCAAAGACCACAGAAUAAAUGUCAUCCUGGCAGCAGGUGAGUAGGGCACACAAACAAUGCUUCUAAAUAUGGUGGUUGAUGACAAUGCUUGCUUACUAAGACCUCGAUAUGAAUCUGUGGACAACUGGUUUUUGGCAGGUGAAGUCAUGUGAGUGAUUCAGUAUAUGCUGUGUAUGGCUGGAGAAAGCUGAGUAGAUACAAGAAAAAGCAGUGUGUAACAGAUCUCCCCCCACCAUGCAGUGAUCUAAGAGAUGGACCCAGGCUAAAUGGUGACUCUGCACGUGUUCUGGCUAAACAAAGAAUCUCACAGCAGGAAGAACUGUCCAGCUGUCCCCCACAUAGGUCCCUGCUCAUAGUUCACGGCACUCUGCGGUGUUAGCAUCAGGGUUGUGCCAAAGAACCAUGCCUACAAAGCCUCCCAAGCCAUGAGUCUGCAUGCUGCACUCACACAGACAUAGACAAAGCCAAGACUAUUGCCUUUAUGAUGGUCUGUAAACAUGGGGCAUAUUCUCUAUAGCACAUUGAUAGCUUAUAUGAGAAAAUGAGAUCUUGCAGCCUGGAGACCUAGAGUGGGAGAUAUGACUGACCUCGACCACAUUUUUCACUUCUGAUAUCAGCAUAGAAGUGAUUUAGGUGCUGUUAUUUGAGCAUCUGUACUUUAAGAAACCUUCCACGUCUUCCAAGUUCCAUAUACUUUACUCUUUAAGACAUGACUCCUCUUUUAAAUUUGACAUCUUAAAGGAGGUUUAUUCCAUUUUUUAAAUUUUAACUGAAGAUACUAUAGUACAGUACUUAAAUGACAGAUCUUCUGUUCCUCUUCAUUUUAAUGCAUACUUUUUGAUCUAUUAUGAUGCAUACUGUGAAUAUUCUGCCCACCAAUAAAUGGACCAAAAAAUGGCCAGAGUGACACAUAUGAGCCACAGUUAGACCUGGACAUGAGUUAUGAGGACUACCACAUGGUGGUCACAAUAAUUGAGAUCUGAGUUCUCAAAUUUAAAGGAAAACAGGCACUAUACACAAAACUCUACUGACAUAUUAUCAUGGACACAAAGGACAGAGUGCUGAGCACUGAGUGCCCAAACAAGUGCUUUAACAGCAUGGAAGGCAUGAUUUCCCACAAUAUACUAAGCCACUAAAUUCACAAAGGCCACCACAAUUCUAAAAAAAGAUGUCACUGCAAACAAACCCAAGUCUUAGACCACAAUAUAAGACAAACAUCCCAACAUGCUGUCUCCACACUCUAGCCUGAUUAGGAGUUGUAGUUCAGUGGAUGAAUGGCCCAUAUAUUUAACAUCAUUACUUCAUGUUCAUGCAAUUCAACCUUCCUGCAGUCUAAAACUAUAGGUGAAAUUUCAGUCAAAGUCCUAAAUUAUGAAUUGUAUGAGUUUCUUCUUCACUUAAUAUUUUCCCAGGGAAACAGGAAAACUAAUUUCAAUAUCCAAGUGUCCAAAAGUAGAGUUUGCCAGAGUAGCAAGGGGGCAGAACAAAGCAUUUUAUGAAGAUCACAAUGCAUCUGCUUCUACAGUGCCUAUGUAUUAUCACCAUUUGUGUGAUUAAAAGGGUGAAUGAGAAUGAAGAAAAACAGAGAUCAAGAAUGUUAUAGAUUAAAGAAUUGAAUUUGUAAUGUAGCUUGCAGGGAUCAUUGCUUAUAUUACUAACUUUAGGACACAAUUUUUUUAAUAUAGAUUUUCCUUAGUCUUUAGAAAACUAGCACUUCAGGAAAAAUUUCAAGUGUCUCUCUACAAUUUAUAUCUUCCUCAUCAACAGAUUUCUUGAACCAUAGUUUAUAAAACAAUUACAGCACUUUACUAAUAAGUCUAAUAUUUCUAAUAACUAAGUAGAAUGUAAAUAGAAUUGUUAAAUUAAUGUGAAAAUAUAUACAACAAUGUUUACUUAAUAACAGACUAAAAUAUAGCAGAUUAGCCACCAUGAUUUUUUCUUUUUCUUUUUGAGUUGGAGUUUGCUGUUUCGCCCAGGCUGGAGUGAAGUGGCGAGAUCUCCCCUCACUGCAACCUCCGCCCCCGGGGUUCAAGUGAUUCUCCUGCCUCAGCCACCACCAUUUAACACUGAGAAGUGGGCAGUCACAGAGAAAAAGUUUAGAAUAGUUCACCAGUGAAGUCAUCUCAACCAGCACAGGGCCUUGACUCCUAACAACAAUCACACGAACUUGGAAGAGGAGCCUUCCCCAACUGAACCUUCGCUUGAGACCUCGUCCUUGGCCAUCCUCUACAUCUGGAUUCAUGAUACAGAGAAACUUGAGUAAUGAUGACACUAGCAGUCCAGCCUGCAUGGAUGCUGACAUGGAUGCUGUCUCCCAUUCUUACCACUGGAUGGGAAGAAAUGCUAGAUGCAAUCCAGCCAGUCUGUACUCGACUGUCAGUUCCAUCUUCUCAACUCACAGUGUCUUCCAAAGUCCGUGCCACACCACAGCCUGGAACAUCUCCCAAGGUUUCAAAUAAUUCAUCAGUGAAUUCUUCUCAACCUGGUCAAUCAUGUGAACUUAGAAGAUGAUUCCUCCCCAGCUGAUCCUCAGGUGAGACAUCAGCCUUGGCCAUCAUCUACAUCUGGAUUCCUGACCCAGAGAAACUGGAACACUAAGACCCAUUCUUCUUCUCAAGUAUCCAAAAAUAAAGUUGAUCCAAGCCUCUCUGGAUGGUGACUAUAACCUAUAGCCUUGCCCAAUAUGACUCAGGAUUUGGUACUGGCUGUGCCUUUCAUGGGAUGCUUACUUAUCCUGGUCGAUGGCCUAAAGCCCAACCGUCCAGCUUAUAUCCAGGG
rnacentral:lncRNA from 1 species